rnacentral:rRNA from 1 species
AUUGAACGCUGGCGGCAGGCCUAACACAUGCAAGUCGAGCGGAUGAAGGCAGCUUGCUCCUGGAUUCAGCGGCGGACGGGUGAGUAAUGCCUAGGAAUCUGCCUGGUAGUGGGGGAUAACGUCCGGAAACGGGCGCUAAUACCGCAUACGUCCUGCGGGAGAAAGUGGGGGAUCUUCGGACCUCACGCUAUCAGAUGAGCCUAGGUCGGAUUAGCUAGUUGGUGGGGUAAAGGCCUACCAAGGCGACGAUCCGUAACUGGUCUGAGUGGAUGAUCAGUCACACUGGAAGGGAGACACGGUCCAGGCGCCUACGGGAGGGAGCAGUGGGGAACAUUAGACAAUGGGCGAAAGCCUGAUCCAGCGAUGCCGCGUGUGAGAAGAAGGUCUUCGGAUUGGAAAGCACUCUAAGUGGGGAGGAAGGGCAGUAACUUAAUACCUUGCUGUUUUGACGGUAACAACAGAAUAAGCACCGGCUAACUUCGUG